rnacentral:rRNA from 1 species
UACGGGGGGAGCAAGCGUUGUUCGGAUUUACUGGGCGUAAGGGGCGGGUAGGCGGCCACCGCAAGUCAGUUGUGAAAUCUCUGGGCUUAACCCAGAAAGGUCAACUGAUACUGCGGGGCUAGAGUGCAGAAGGGGCAACUGGAAUUCUCGGUGUAGCGGUGAAAUGCGUAGAUAUCGAGAGGAACACCUGCGGCGAAGGCGGGUUGCUGGGCUGACACUGACGCUGAGGCGCGAAAGCUAGGGGAGCGAACGGG